rnacentral:rRNA from 1 species
UACGUAGGGGGCAAGCGUUGUCCGGAAUUAUUGGGCGUAAAGAGCGUGUAGGCGGCCCGGUAAGUCCGCUGUAAAAGUCAAAGGCUUAACCUUUGAAUGUCAGUGGAUACUGCCGGGCUAGAGUCCGGAAGAGGCGAGUGGAACUCCUGGUGUAGCGGUGGAAUGCGCAGAUAUCAGGAAGAACACCAACGGCGAAGGCAGCUCGCUAGGACGGUACUGACGCUGAGACGCGAAAGCGUGGGGAGCGAACAGG